GCGUUCACUGUUGAGCCUAUAUGUUGUUAAUAUGAAUCAUAAGGCACGCGGUGAAUGCCA
rnacentral:pre_miRNA from 1 species